GGACGUGUGCCCGAAAGACAGGGCUUACCUUGAUAGGGUAACGCAUAGAGGUUCAAACCCUCUCACCUC
rnacentral:tRNA from 1 species